CUUGAAACACCAGUUCCCGUACGAUCAUCGAAGUUAAACAAUGUUGAGCUUGGUCAGUACCUAGGUGGGUGACCCCUUGGGAAUAGCAGGUGCUGUAAG